AAAAAAAAACUUAAAUUUUAAUUAUAGAAAUAUAAAAUUUUAUAUUUUUAUUCGGUACUUACAUACUCAAAUUCCUAUUUAAGAUUUUUAGUGCUUAAACUAAAUAAAAUUAUAAACAAAUUUAAUCUCACUUGUCAUCUUAAUAACAUUUUAGAAGUGUGAACGAGACAUCUGUGUUUGACAAAAAAAUAUAAAUAACUCAAAUUAUCGAGUCAACUAAGUUCAAUAUAUCACUAUAUACUCUGAGCAACUUGUAAAUCUAAUCAAGAUUUUUUUUAAUUUAUAAAUAUAUAUUUAAUAUGUUGAUAUUAAUCGAAUUUGAACUAAGCUUCAAAUAAAACAUUUCAAAAUAAACUUCUCAUCUGGAUUUGAUUACAACCCUACAUUAAUUGUAUUUUUUUAUAAAUAUAUCAAUGUUAUGAGUUUGUUUUUCUUCACCAAAUUAAGUUGAGACCCCAAAUUUUAUAUCUUUUAACAUCUGGUAUUUGGAAAAACAAAACUCACAAACAUUUGAAUUUUAUUUUCGUCAAACAAGUUCAUUUAAAAAAAAAAGUUUCAUUGAGUGAAUAAUAAUUGGUGGACUAUAAAAAAGUCAACUUGUCAUGUUCGUUGAAAAAUGAUCGGCAAGUGGGAACACAAAACACUGGUCAACUAAGUCAGCUCUCAUUUAAAAAACAAUAAUAAUAAUUUAAGUACGCAUUUUUUAAAACAGAAUAGAAAAUAUUUAAUUAAUUAGUUCUAUUAAUUAUAAUUUAGAAAACGACUUCCAAUUUAUUUUAUAAUUUAUUUUUUAAAAAAUGUAUGUGAUCUGUUUCAAAUUUCAACUCUUUUUAUUACAAAAUUAACAUGAAUUAAUUAAACUAGUGUGAACUCAAAAUACUGGUCAAUCAAGUCAACAAUUUAUUUUUAAAAAAAUAACAAAUUACUAAUAAUCAUUUAGUUUGGCAUGUGUAUUUUUUAUAUUCUAUUAAAAUGGUUUUAAAUUUUAAUUAUACUAAUUAAUCUAUAUAAUUUCCCGGAUAUCAUUUAUUUGAAAAACUACAUAACAUUAAAAUAUCUUGUCCGUAUUUUCUUUGACUUGUAAUUAAUGUCAAUUAUAAUUGUCACCGACCAUUUUUUUGCUAAAAAAAAAAGAUGUCUUAGAAUUAUAGCUUUUGUUAUAAUUAUAGUAUAAUCAUAUAAUUUAAACUAAAAUAGUUAUAAAAAUAAAAUAUCACGAGAUCCUUGUGUUAAUGUCAAUUUACAUUUUGCCUCAUUUAUUUAAAAAAUGAUUAAAUUAAUCUAAGUAUAAAAUAGAUGAAUUUUUUAAUAAAACGAUCAGAUUAUUCUUUGAUCAAAUGUGCAUUAAUUAAUUUAUCAAUUUUUGAAUAAAAAAUGUCAAAUACGAUCUGAAUCUUAAUAUAAUAGCUUCCAUAAUAAUUUUAUUAUAGAUAACUAAUACACAAAUGAAAUUCAAACCUAAAUUAUUAUUGAUAUUUAGAUUAAUUUUAUGGUCCGAAUUAUUAUUAUAUCUACAUAGUUAAUUUUUAAACAUAUAUUAUUUAAAUUGUUAAAUAAUAAUCCGAAUUAUAAAUCAAUUUGAAUUAUGCAACUUAUGAUGUAAGGCCGGAUCCAGACUCAUACAUAGUUUGUUUGCAGUUACCCUUUUUGGUAAUUUCGCAUUGCCUUCUCUCCCAUUCUAACGAACCUUCUUACCAACUUUUCCUUUUGCCGACAUGUCCCUCCCACAGAUUUAUUUGGAAACCAAUGACCACUCUCCAUCUAAAACAAUUUACAUAUAUACUAAGAAUAAAUUUAAAAAAAAAUUAAAUUGAAUUAAAAUAAUAAAAUAAAAUUCAUCCAUUUUAAUAAUUUAAAAUAAAUUUUAUUCGAUUCAAUUUAAAUAGAUCUAACAUUCAACCUAAAAGGUUCGAGUAUCACUAUAUUCAAGUUUUUCUAAAUUUAUUUUAACGUAAAAAUUAUAACCUUAAUUCAUAAAAUCUGUUACCAUUUCUUCCCAUCAUCUAUGGGUUGAUAUUGAAUAAAAAUUAACAUUUAAAAUCAUAUUUAAUAUUUAUUUAAUAUCGAAAUUAUAUUUAAAUUUAUUUAAUUUUGGAUCCACCAUUUUUAUUCCAAAGUCCAAACCGAGUGGUGUAAUUUCUUUUUAAUAACAAAAUUAUUUUAAAAAAUCACACGGAAACAUGAAAAGUCAACGUCAACGUCAAAUCUAAAUCGCUUAUUAUACCGCGUUCACACCGUCGCUAAGACACGCGCUUCCUUAGACACAUCUCCAACCGCGUUGGCUACCAUACGUAUAUAUAUAAAUCCUGCGUUCCCAUCUUCAAUUUCAAAUUCAUUUUUGCGUUCAUAUUUCGUCAAACCAAAAAUCAAACCCCAUAAAUUAUUUCAUGGAAAUUGGGUCUUCCCAAUUCUUUGCCGCUGAAGUUCUUGCUUAUAACAACACCGGCAUCAUCACCGGCACCGGCGGAGGAGACGGCGGCAAUUUUUAUUGGUUUCAGGAUAUGGAAGAUGACAAGAAAAGGAGUGGAAACAACGAGUUUAUGGAUUUACAUUCUUCGAUUUCGCUAUUCGAUGCUGAAAUGAAGCACGAGCAACUUCAGUGGUUUACUGAUCCUGAUCAAGGAAGAGGAGCUGUUUUUGAAUCGAAUUACAGUGAAACGAAUGAUUAUUUCGAUCAAAUUCAAAGUCAUUACACUGAAAUCGAUGAAUUUGAUGAUUCACGGAAGAAACGCGCGAGAAAAUCAAGUUCACCGGUAUCUGUUCCGGCGACGGAGGAUUCAGGUCCAUCGCAAUCAGGCGGAACAGGACGGCGGUUAUGGGUGAAAGACAGAUCCAAAGACUGGUGGGAGAAGUGCAACCACCCGGAUUUUCCCGACGAGGAAUUCAAACGCGCGUUUCGAAUGAGCAAAUCGACGUUCGAUAUGAUUUGUAAAGAGCUUGAAUCAACGGUGAUGAAAAAGAACACGACGCUCCGCGAUGCGAUACCGGUUCGUCAACGCGUUGCGGUCUGCAUUUGGCGUUUAGCCACCGGUGAACCGCUCCGAAUGGUAUCAAAACGGUUCGGUUUAGGAAUUUCAACUUGCCAUAAGCUAGUUUUAGAGGUUUGUGCCGCCAUUAAAACUGUUUUAAUGCCUAAAUAUGUCCAAUGGCCCGAUGAAAACAAAUUAAAUAAAACCAAAUCGGAGUUCGAAUCCGUCACCGGAAUCCCAAACGUCGCCGGCGCUAUCUACACCACUCACGUCCAGAUCAUCGCUCCAAAAUCCAACGCCGCCGCAUAUUUAAACAAGAAACAAACGGAGAAAACCCAAAAACAAUCGUAUUCCAUCACACUCCAAGGUAUCGUAGACCCAACCGGCGUUUUCACUGACGUUUCAAUUGGUUGGCCUGGUUCAAUGUCCGACGAACAAAUCUUCGAGAAAUCGGCGUUUCAUCAAAGCGCCGUUAAAGGCCAAGUAAAAGGCGUUUGGGUAGUCGGAAGUACAGGGUACCCAUUAAUGGAUUGGGUUUUAGUUCCUUACGCUCAUCAAAAUCUAACUUGGACUCAACACGCAUUCAAUGAGAAGAUCGAAGAGAUUGAAAAAAUGGGUAAAGAAGCAUUUGCGAGACUGAAAGGAAGAUGGUCGUGUUUGCAGAAAAGGGCUGACGUUAAGCUUCAAGAAUUGCCGGCUGUGCUCGGCGCUUGCUGUGUUUUGCAUAAUAUUUGUGAGCUUCGAAAUGAAGAAAUGGAACCCGAGCUUAAAAUUGAAAUUUCCGAUGAUGAAGUCGUGCCGGAGAAUAAUUUGAGAUCCAUGGUUGCCGUUCAAGCUAGGGAUUAUAUUGCUCAUAAUUUGCUUCACCAUGGCCUUGCCGGUACCGGUUUUCUAUAGUGAUUUCAUUAUAUUAUCCUUAGUUAAAAAAUUUUGUAUUUUUUUUAGUGUGUAGUCCAAUAAUAAUAGGUAGAUAGGCAGAUUUUGAUUGCAUUUUUUGGGGGUAUGGAAUAAAAAAUUCUAUUUGACUUUUUAGUUAAUUAAUUUUUAUUGACUUUUUUAAUAAAUAAAUUUAAAUUUUGUGGAUUAAAAAAUAUUGGAAGAACUAAUUUAUUUUCAAAUUAUGUUACAUAAAACGAAACAAUUGACCACUUACAAUUUAAUAGUUUAUGUUUUGUUGAUUGUAUUAAUAUUUUCUUUAUCAUAAAAAAUCAUCAAAAAAAUAUUCUCUG
rnacentral:lncRNA from 1 species